UAAGUGAAUAGUGAAAUCUGGCGGCUCAACCGUACAGGCUAUUAUUCAAACUGGCAAACUCGAGAAUGGUAGAGGUAACUGGAAUUUCUUGUGUAGGAGUGAAAUCCGUAGAUAUAAGAAGGAACACCAAUGGCGUAGGCAGGUUACUGGACCAUUUCUGACACUGAGGCACGAAAGCGUGGGGAGCGAACGGGAUUAGAUACCCCGGUAGUCCACGCCGUAAACGAUGGAUACUA
rnacentral:rRNA from 1 species